CGAACGCUGGCGGCGUGCUUAACACAUGCACGUCGAACGGAAAGGCCCUGCUUUUGUGGGGUGCUCGAGUGGCGAACGGGUGAGUAACACGUGAGUAACCUGCCCUUGACUUUGGGAUAACUUCAGGAAACUGGGGCUAAUACCGGAUAGGCGCUCCUGCUGCAUGGUGGGGGUUGGAAAGUUUCGGCGGUUGGGGAUGGACUCGCGGCUUAUCAGCUUGUUGGUGGGGUAGUGGCUUACCAAGGCUUUGACGGGUAGCCGGCCUGAGAGGGUGACCGGCCACAUUGGGACUGAGAUACGGCCCAGACUCCUACGGGAGGCAGCAGUGGGGAAUAUUGCACAAUGGGCGGAAGCCUGAUGCAGCAACGCCGCGUGCGGGAUGACGGCCUGCGGGUUGUAAACCGCUUUCGCCUGUGACGAAGCGGGAGUGACGGUAAUGGGUAAAGAAGCACCGGCUAACUACGUG
rnacentral:rRNA from 1 species